CCCUUAGAUGUUCUGGGCUGCACGCGUGCUACAAUGGCGUUUCCAGCAAGUCUGCGAACCCGAGAGGGCCAGCGGAUCUUCGAAUUGGCGUCGUGAUCGGGACAGUCGAUUGCAAUUAUUUGACUCAAACGAGGAAUUCCUUGUAAUCGCGGUUCAUCAUAUCGCGCUGAAUACGUCCCUGCCCUUUGUACACACCGCCCGUCGCUCCUACCGAUUGAGCGAUCCGGUAAAUGUUUUGGAUUGGUGCCGGGGCGGCUAGCUGCCGGUCGCUACGAAAUUUUGUGAACCUUAUCGCUUAGAGGAAGGAAAAGUCGUAACA
rnacentral:rRNA from 1 species